GAUGAACGCUGGCGGCGUGCCUAAUACAUGCAAGUCGAGCGAAUGGAUUGAGAGCUUGCUCUUAUGAAGUUAGCGGCGGACGGGUGAGUAACACGUGGGUAACCUGCCCAUAAGACUGGGAUAACUCCGGGAAACCGGGGCUAAUACCGGAUAACAUUUUGAACCGCAUGGUUCGAAAUUGAACGGCGGCUUCGGCUGUGACUUAUGGAUGGACCGGCGUCGCAUUAGCUAGUUGGUGAGGUAACGGCUCACCAAGGCAACGAUGCGUAGCCGACCUGAGAGGGUGAUCGGCCACACUGGGACUGAGACACGGCCCAGACUCCUACGGGAGGCAGCAGUAGGGAAUCUUCCGCAAUGGACGAAAGUCUGACGGAGCAACGCCGCGUGAGUGAUGAAGGCUUUCAGGUCGUAAAACUCUGUUGUUAGGGAAGAACAAGUGCUAGUUGAAUAAGCUGGCACCUUGACGGUACCUAACCAGAAAGCCACGGCUAACUACGUGCCAGCAGCCGCGGUAA
rnacentral:rRNA from 1 species